UACGAAGGGGGCUAGCGUUGCUCGGAAUGACUGGGCGUAAAGGGCGCGUAGGCGGCCUGGACAGUCGGAUGUGAAAUUCCUGGGCUCAACCUGGGGGCUGCAUCCGAGACGUUUGGGCUGGAGUGAGGAAGAGGGUCGUGGAAUUCCCAGUGUAGAGGUGAAAUUCGUAGAUAUUGGGAAGAACACCGGUGGCGAAGGCGGCGACCUGGUCCUUUACUGACGCUGAGGCGCGAAAGCGUGGGGGAGCAAACAGGAUUAGAUACCCUGGUAGUCCACGCCGUAAACGAUGUGUGCUGGAUGUUGGGCGGCCCAGCCGUUCAGUGUCGAAGCCAACGCGGUAAGCACACCGCCUGGGGAGUACGGCCGCAAGGUUGAAACUCA
rnacentral:rRNA from 1 species